rnacentral:lncRNA from 1 species
UUCCUGCCUCUGGUGGUUGCACAUGGUCAUGAAACUCGAGUACUCGAGUAUUUGGAUUUGCAUCUUCAGCAUCGAACAUGUCGUCACUCUUGCUAUGCAGUUCUUUUGCUAGCACCUCCUCUGAAUGUUGUCACCCCUCGUUUGGUGCCGGUGAUACCUGAAGUGUGCACUUAAAGUGUCUCACUUUAAAAAAUCUUUGCUCGAAAAACGAGAGAAAAGCACCAAUAGUCAUGUUUGUCCAUUUUGAGACGCCAUAGCCAAAAUAGUCAGAAUUAAUCUAAGAUAACUCAAGAAAUCUUUCAUUCAUUGUAAAGUUUUUGCUGAGGAGAUCUUAGUCACACAAUUUUACAUCUAACUAAGAUGUUUGGUGCAGUAUUUCUCAAUGAAAACAUGUGCAUGAAAAUGAGUCGUCUCUCGUUGAAUGACAACAAAGACUUUAUUGAAGAAUCCCUACUCUUGACCAAUCACCAAUAAAGGGGCGUAGACUUCGACUACGGACUUCAGAUUGCCAAUUUGUGUGCCUGAACAGCCGAAAAAACUCCACAAAAAGUCAUCAUAAUAUAUGCAUGAACUCUUCCGAAUUGUUUUUGGCUUGUAAGAAUGGGAACGCCUUAAGUCUCUCUACAUACAAAACGAGGCAACAGUGAUACAAAACGGGGCGACGGUGUGCUUUAGGACCAUUCAGACGCCUCCGAGCAGUCGGGUUCAAGAGCACCGUUGAUUUUCAAGGGCUGGUUCUACGCCUGGGGAUCACAGGAUACAAUUUCUUCCUGAAUGUAUUUAUCUUUGCAGCUGUGGAGCUGCUCACUGGUCUCAUCUUCAACUGCUGGUGGACAGGGUGGGAUGGAGACUCCUCAUGGCUGUCUCUAACUUCAUAUGAGUCGCCGCCUGCCUCAUAGUCCCCUUUGUUUCAACUGUGUGGCUGAUGAAAACCAUAGCGAUCAUUGGUCAGGCUGUUGCCAUUGGAAUCGAGACUGAACUUUGCCAACUCUAACCUGUAUCCAACACCUCUCAGCAAAUAAUAAAAUGAAACUCAUUAAUGCUGCUUAAUUCUGUUUUCACAACCUGGAUUACAUACUGGUAGUAAUACAUGCA